AUUGAGGUGGACAAAAUGAAACCUGAGCCUACCAAAGCUGACAGAUUGCACAAGAAACACAUAAAUGCAGAUUGGAAGAUUCAUUCUCUGGAAAGUAGAAAAGGGCAUGUUACAUACUGUUAUCACUGCCAUGACAGAAACCAUAUUGAGGAGCUGGUCCACAUGUAGGAAGAAUUGUGCUAUUGGUUGGAGCAGCACUAUUCCCCAGCCAUACACCAGCACUUAGUUUGUCAUAGGGAGCAUUUCUGAGCUGUUAUGGAGACCACUAACUAUGCAGUUGUUGCAGUGAAACUUGCACCAGUGUGUUUUCUGUGGAGAUAAAGAGAUAGUGUCCAGCAAUGAAGACCCAACUCAAGAUCUGACCUUGUAAGGCCAAUAUGAAAUAACUGUGUGGGAAAAUGGGAAAAACCUGCAGUCAGGAAUGCACGGAAAUCAUCAAAAGAACAGUGUUAAAUUAAUCUUGAAUAACUUGACAUUUAUUUUGUUUGACAUAUUUAUUCAUGGUGCAGUGAAAACAUUCUUUUUUUCUCAUGGUUAUUUAAAUUUAGAAUUGAUAGGAGGGAACAUCACUAUGUAGUUUCAUGUUCAUAGUCAGAUCAAAA